ensembl:lncRNA
CAUACUUACCUCUCCUGUGGCAACCAGUAACCUGCCUCCAUCCUCCUGAAACCCUCCUGCCUUCACAGACUGAUGAGACUUUCCUGCCCACCAGGGAGAUGCUGGAUCUGGCUCCACCUCCUUCCCAGGGAUGAAGUCCAUCAGAUGCUAUAGACUCUGGCUGAGAGUGAUGACAUGCCCUUGGAAACCUCUCAUCACCCUCUAGCAUGACAGCCAGGUUUUUACAUCCACAUGCAUUCCUGCUCUGGACCACGUGAGUCUCUGCUCCAGGAUCUUGUCCCUGGGGUAGGCAGAGGCUUUGCUGAGCCCAUGGACUCCUGGUUAUCUGCAGCAUGAGGGUGCUCCCAAGCCAGGUUCAUCGAGACAGACUGAGCUGGGUCCUGCCUCCAAAACAAGCCCACCUUGCUCCCUUUGAGCCACCACCACGCAGCAGCUGCUGAUUUGUCAUUUGCCUUCUCAAAACUAUCUCCUGAUAUGGAAACAGUUCAUCAUUGCCUGUAACCAGCAGGAACACCAGCAGGAACACCAGGUCCUGCCAGCAUCUCUUUUGAGCAUCAAGGUAAGUGGGUCUGGGACAGUUCUAUCUGGGGUAGGACAUUACUACUGAUGUUGUACUAGAACUGCUGCUUGCCUGCUGCUGCUGUGCCAUGAGGCCAGGAAAAGCACUCCCAGACAGGCCGACCUUCCAAGGUGUGUUAUAAAUGGGGUAAAA